rnacentral:rRNA from 1 species
CCUACGGGAGGCAGCAGUGGGGAAUAUUGCUCAAUGGGCGAAAGCCUGACGCAGCGACGCCGCGUGAGGGAUGAAGGUCUUCGGAUCGUAAACCUCUGUCAGCAGGGAAGAACGGUCACUGUGCUAAUCAGCAGUGAAUUGACGGUACCUGCAAAGGAAGCACCGGCUAACUCCGUGCCAGCAGCCGCGGUAAUACGGCGGGUGCGAGCGUUAAUCGGAAUUACUGGGCGUAAAGCGCUCGUAGGCGGUAUGUCAAGUCAAGGGUGAAAUCCCCGCGCUCAACGUGGGAACUGCCUUUGAAACUGGCAAACUGGAGUGUGGGAGAGGAUAGUGGAAUGCCAGGUGUAGGAGUGAAAUGCGUAGAUAUCUGGAAGAACAUCAGUGGCGAAGGCGACUAUCUGGCACAUAACUGACGCUGAGGAGCGAAAGCGUGGGUAGCAAACAGGAUUAGAUACCCCAGUAGUC